CCUCCCUCCCAAAAAAUAUUAUGUUUUUACAUUUAAAAUUUGUGUCUUAACAGAAUCAUAGAGAAGGGAAGCUAAUGGAAAUGAUACAUUUUGAGGAUGGUCAGGGCUGGAUGCCAUUAUUUAUUUAAAGCAUACAAGCCAAACUCCAAUCCUUGUUCCACAGUUCUAUGUUCCCCUGAUAAUGUUCUGUUUGCUGUCCCUGGUUCUACAGGGAGAGAAUUUGCUGGUCAAACUGAUAAGUGACUGGUCACUAGACACACAUCCACUUCUCUUUGUGAAUGGAUUCUCAUUCUGGUAUACAACCUUAUGUCUAGGGUGGCUUUAUGGCAGCCAUCUGGAUCUUGUUGAAGUCUGGGAUGCUGAAGAAGUCUCACUGUGUGAGUUUCUGACCCUGUAAGGUUGAGGCAAGAUGGAAUGAUGGUGACUUUACCAGAAAAAAAUGCUAUCUUGUGAAGUCUCCCUCUUCUGAUAACAAGUGACCCUGCUCCCUCUUUGUGUCAGGCAUGACAACUGGCUUUUCAGCUUCAGGAAUGAAUAUGGACAACUUGAAGGAAGGCUUGCCAAGAUCCCAGUGGAGCCUCAGAUGCAGCAGAUGAUGAGAAGGUUACUGACUUCCUACCCACAUCUGAAGGCAGGGUGUUGCUCCGAGUUGUUUGGCUGUAGUGCGGCCGCGAGCUGCUGCGCUCCUG
rnacentral:lncRNA from 1 species